rfam:Musa acuminata subsp. malaccensis Doubled-haploid Pahang (DH-Pahang) genomic chromosome, chr3
AGCUGCGUGGUGAGCACAGAGCGAACUAUUCUUUCGCCUUUUACUAAAGAAUACCGUGUGCACGCCACAUAAAGCAGCAUACGCCAAUUUUUGGAGGGAUUCGUCUCUUUUAGAGAGGGGU